rnacentral:lncRNA from 1 species
AGUCUGUGAUCGCAGCUCACUCUGCCCUCCCUCCGUCCCUUCCGUCAGUCCCGGGGCUUACCCGGGUGCAGAGAGCGAGGAGCACCAAGGCGAGGCUGAUGGGACCUGCGACGGAGGCGAGCAUGAUCGGGACGCGGUAGGAGGAUGCACAGCAGGGUGCAGAGGCGACGAGAGGCGCGGCCGGAGCCUGGAUUCGGACAGGGGCGGAGAACCCUGUGCAAUAUGCACUGUGUGUGAAGACAGCAGAUCAUAGGGACCUUGGAGAUCAUUCAGCGGAAACAUGAGACCACCCCCUUCAGAGUAUACAAGGUGGAAGACAGCGCCGAUGGGGUGUGGCUUCCUGCUCUGAUAACCUCAAGGUUGGUAUGCUGAGUUGCUGGUGACUAAGCAAAGCCUGACACAGCUUCACAAGAGGUCCCUCAAACUCUGACCACCAUGGAGACUUGGCAAUCCAUUCAGACUACUUUGAGAAGCAGUUCAAAACUGAUUUGUAUUCUACGAUUCUCUUUCCUACCUUGUAUUUCUUUCUGUAAAAGAGUUGAGGCUGAUCUAAUUUUAGGAUUUGGCCAUUUGAGUUGAA